CCCUCCAACCCCUCCCCUCUUCUGUGCCUGCGACUUUCUGGAACAGGGAGUACUGGUGUUUGCUUGCUUACUUUUUAAAGUGAAACACUUUUCGUGAUCUGAAAAAUAUCAAAGUAUUCUCGCAUUCCCUAAUUCCUCUCCAAAGCCCAGGGGGCAAAAGAUAACUGGUCUUUAGGCAUCUGCUAUAGAAAUGUGCAGAUUGGACAGUGCGUAACCCACCCAACUGUACCUGGACAACCAGCACAGAGCAGCCAGAAAGAGAGUACUGGAAGGGCGAUUCUGGAUCUCAGAAGUAACUUUGACACCAACCCUCACUACUUACCGCUCUGAAAUGGGAAAGACAGUGAUGUAGGUGUUACUGGUUGUGCGGAUGGAAUUACAGGGUGCUGUGAAGGAGGCGGGGCACUCAGUGUUUGUUGUUUCUUUGUUUCUGUUGAUGCUGCCUAUUAGUUCAAACUGCACCAUUUUGUGAGCCCCGCCCCAUUUUGCAGACCCUGGUCAAACAGAAACAUUCCACGGGCGUCGGGCCACGAGAAACAUCCUGUCCAACCACCUGACUUUCUUAUCAUCCCCUGCUGGGCAAAGCCCUGCCCGGCAAAGCCCCCAGCUGAAGGAUCAUCCUCAUCAGAUCCUGCUGAGCAAAGAUCCAAGGAACAUUCUAUCACAUCCCCCAAAAAACAGGGCCACACCACCUUGCCUUGGAACAUCUUAUCAACAUCUUCCUGGGAAGCAGGCCAUACCCACCAGGCCCCUCCCGCCCAGGCCUAUAAUUACCCCAGCCUGUAAGCCGAGGUCAGCACUGGCAUUCACCUGGUCCCCCAUCUCUGCAGGUCUUAGGCUGGACAUAGAACCUGAAUCGCUGGAGAGCUGCCAAUUCUCUCUUUCUUUUACCAUCGCCUUCCCUUCCAAACCUAACACUGGACAGAUCCUUGAAACAUGAACAUUCUGGAAACCAAGAAGCUGCCAGGACCCUCACCUGCUUAGCUGGUUUCAUCACCAGCACUGCAGAAAUGCACAAUUAAUUCCUUACUUUAAAAAUGCUCGGUGGAGAGGAGACCACUGGGGAGUAAAAUGCGUGUGAGCAGCAGCGGAGAUGGGCACAGACCAGAAGAGGAAGGAGUGAAGGAUUCUCAUCUCAUGGGCUGUGGAGGCUUCCAGGAAGACCACUUGUUCCAGGUGUGAAGGAUGGGCGAGCAGGAGUUCCUUGUCAAUCAUGGGGGAGAAGAGGGGAGCAUCGGUCAGAAGAACUGAUGGGUUCCAAAAGGGAAGAAGUCACAAAUAAGUGAUUCCAGUUACUGCUUUUCAGCUAUUAGAAUCUGCUGUGCAAAAACGAACUGACUUGCAAUAACUUUUAAAACAUCUUUGUGCUUCCUAAGUUCUGGAGCAACUGAAUGAUGCUUUUAAGAAAGUUUAGAUAGACUGUAAAGCAAAUGCUGGCCUGGCAGGAGGAUGUGGGGUUGGGAGUGGGAUGAGAAUGCUGAGAUGGGGCAGGGGCAGAGUCAGGAGGGAGUUGCAGUUUGGUCUUGAAGAUGGCUGAAGAGUAAUCAAGAGUCACUGAAAAAUGUUUUACAGAGCGGGGUAUCACCACUUUCUAUUCUAGAGAGAUGACUGUUGCUACACUUCAUAGAGAAUGAAGGGAACAGUGCUAAGAGCCAAGAAUGACAUCUCCAGCUCUAGGCAUGUAAAUGAUGGUGGCUGGCAGUGACACUCUGAAUUUUCCACCCUCCUCUUGAUAUGUCAGGAAAAGCCUCUCACCCAUCGAAGGCCAAAGUGCUUGGCUCCUGGGCUCUCUUGCCCUCUUGCUUUUUCAAGGGCCCUGGUUCAUUGGCCUGUUUUCCCAUCUGUCUCUCCUCUCCUCUCCUCUCCUCUCCUCUCCUCUCCUCUCCUCUCCUCUC